AACGUUGCGUCAGCAACGGCCCGCAGGGCGAGUCACGCAGUGGCGAGUCAUCCUCUAUCACCGACCA
rnacentral:sRNA from 2 species